UCCUACGGGAGGCAGCAGUGGGGAAUCUUCCGCAAUGGACGAAAGUCUGACGGAGCAACGCCGCGUGAGUGAUGAAGGAUUUCGGUCUGUAAAGCUCUGUUGUUUAUGACGAACGUGCAGUGUGUGAACAAUGCAUUGCAAUGACGGUAGUAAACGAGGAAGCCACGGCUAACUACGUGCCAGCAGCCGCGGUAAUACGUAGGUGGCGAGCGUUAUCCGGAAUUAUUGGGCGUAAAGAGGGAGCAGGCGGCACUAAGGGUCUGUGGUGAAAGAUCGAAGCUUAACUUCGGUAAGCCAUGGAAACCGUAGAGCUAGAGUGUGUGAGAGGAUCGUGGAAUUCCAUGUGUAGCGGUGAAAUGCGUAGAUAUAUGGAGGAACACCAGUGGCGAAGGCGACGAUCUGGCGCAUAACUGACGCUCAGUCCCGAAAGCGUGGGGAGCAAAUAGGAUUAGAUACCCUAGUAGUCCACGCCGUAAACGAUGAGUACUAAGUGUUGGGAGUCAAAUCUCAGUGCUGCAGUUAACGCAAUAAGUACUCCGCCUGAGUAGUACGUUCGCAAGAAUGAAACUCAAAGGAAUUGACGGGGGCCCGCACAAGCGGUGGAGCAUGUGGUUUAAUUCGAAGCAACGCGAAGAACCUUACCAGGUCUUGACAUCGAUCUAAAGGCUCCAGAGAUGGAGAGAUAGCUAUAGAGAAGACAGGUGGUGCAUGGUUGUCGUCAGCUCGUGUCGUGAGAUGUUGGGUUAAGUCCCGCAACGAGCGCAACCCCUGUUGCCAGUUGCCAGCAUUAAGUUGGGGACUCUGGCGAGACUGCCGGUGACAAGCCGGAGGAAGGCGGGGAUGACGUCAAAUCAUCAUGCCCCUUAUGACCUGGGCUACACACGUGCUACAAUGGACAGAGCAGAGGGAAGCGAAGCCGCGAGGUGGAGCGAAACCCAUAAAACUGUUCUCAGUUCGGACUGCAGUCUGCAACUCGACUGCACGAAGCUGGAAUCGCUAGUAAUCGCGAAUCAGCAUGUCGCGGUGAAUACGUUCUCGGGCCUUGUACACACCGCCCGUCACACCAUGAGAGUCGGUAACACCCGAAGCCGGUGGCCUAACCGCAAGGAAGGAGCUGUCUAAGGUGGGACUGAUGAUUGGGGUGAAGUCGUAACAAGGUAUCCCUACGGGAACGUGGGGAUG
rnacentral:rRNA from 1 species